ACAUGAUUACAACAUAGAGUUAAUGCACUGGAUCCCAUUAGAACUCCAUAGUGAAGCACGCUCAGGCUAGAGUACUACUAGGAUGGUGACUGCCCGGGAAUUCCUAAAUUUUACAUGCA
rnacentral:rRNA from 1 species